UACAGAGGUGCCGAGCGUUAGGCGGAAUCACUGGGCUUAAAGCGUGCGUAGGCGGGCGUCUAAGUGUCUUGUGAAAUCCCACGGCUCAACCGUGGAACUGUUGGGCAUACUGGACGCCUUGAGUCACACAGGGGCGAGCGGAACAAGUGGUGGAGCGGUGAAAUGCGUAGAUAUCAGGAGGAACACCGGUGGCGAAGGCGGGUCUCUGGGCCGAUACUGACGCUGAGGAGCGAAAGCGUGGGGAGCGAACAGG
rnacentral:rRNA from 1 species